rnacentral:rRNA from 1 species
CACGGCCUAUCAGCUUGUUGGUGGGGUAAUGGCUCACCAAGGCGACGACGGGUAGCCGGCCUGAGAGGGUGACCGGCCACACUGGGACUGAGACACGGCCCAGACUCCUACGGGAGGCAGCAGUGGGGAAUAUUGCACAAUGGGCGGAAGCCUGAUGCAGCGACGCCGCGUGAGGGAUGACGGCCUUCGGGUUGUAAACCUCUUUCAGUAGGGAAGAAGCGAGAGUGACGGUACCUGCAGAAGAAGCGCCGGCUAACUACGUGCCAGCAGCCGCGGUAAUACGUAGGGCGCAAGCGUUGUCCGGAAUUAUUGGGCGUAAAGAGCUCGUAGGCGGUUUGUCGCGUCUGCUGUGAAAGCCCGGGGCUCAACCCCGGGUCUGCAGUGGGUACGGGCAGACUAGAGUGCAGUAGGGGAGACUGGAAUUCCUGGUGUAGCGGUGAAAUGCGCAGAUAUCAGGAGGAACACCGAUGGCGAAGGCAGGUCUCUGGGCUGUUACUGACGCUGAGGAGCGAAAGCAUGGGGAGCGAACAGGAUUAGAUACCCUGGUAGUCCAUGCCGUAAACGUUGGGCACUAGGUGUGGGGGACAUUCCACGUUUUCCGCGCCGUAGCUAACGCAUUAAGUGCCCCGCCUGGGGAGUACGG